rnacentral:rRNA from 1 species
CCUACGGGGGGCUGCAGUAGGGAAUCUUCCGCAAUGGGCGCAAGCCUGAUGCAGCAACACCGCGUGAGUGAAGAAGGGUUUCGGCUCGUAAAGCUCUGUUGUUGGCGAAGAAGGUGCGUGAGAGUAACUGUUCACGCAGUGACGGUAACCAACCAGAAAGUCACGGCUAACUACGUGCCAGCAGCCGCGGUAAUACGUAGGUGGCAAGCGUUAUCCGGAUUUAUUGGGCGUAAAGCGAGCGCAGGCGGUUGCUUAGGUCUGAUGUGAAAGCCUUCGGCUUAACCUAAGAAGUGCAUCGGAAACCGGGCAACUUGAGUGCAGAAGAGGAGAGUGGAAUUCCAGGUGUAGCGGUGGAAUGCGUAGAGAUAUGGAAGAACACCAGUGGCGAAGGCGGCUGUCUGGUCUGCAACUGACGCUGAAGCUCGAAAGCAUGGGUAGCGAACAGGAUUAGAUACCCUGGUAGUC